CCCGCUGAGUUUAAGCAUAUCAAUAAGCGGAGGA
rnacentral:rRNA from 2 species